ACAGGCAUACACACCACCAUGAGCAUAUCCAGUCUUGUCUGAUCUCAGGAGCUAAGCAGGGUCGGGCCUAGUUAGUACUUGGAUGGGAGAUCCGUGAUUUGGAUGUUAGAU
rnacentral:rRNA from 1 species